rnacentral:rRNA from 1 species
UACGUAGGGGCCUAGCGUUGUCCGGAUUUAUUGGGCGUAAAGAGCUCGUAGGCGGUUCGGUAAGUCAGGUGUGAAAUCUCCACGCUCAACGUGGAGGCGCCACCUGAAACUGCCGUGCCUCGAGUCCGGUAGGGGAGUGUGGAAUUCCCGGUGUAGCGGUGAAAUGCGCAGAUAUCGGGAGGAACACCAGUGGCGAAGGCGACUACCUGGCCUGUUCUUGACGCUGAGGCGCGAAAGCUAGGGGAGCAAACGGG